GGUGUGGAUGUGCGACGCAAGAAGGGCAGGGAAGGAGAAACCCUUCUCCUUUAACCUAGUUCAUAAAAUCACUUCAAUUGAGGGUGUUAUCAAGCAAGAAUCGGAUGCAUGAGUCCAAGUAAUCUCUAAUCUAAGCAUAUUGAACAUAAGGAGGUAUGUCAAUAUGGACACAAGCAUGGAAGGACAACGGGUCAAAGUAAAUACAGAAGCUAAGCAUGGGCUCGGACGCACAAGGAAUGAGUACAUCGGAUUCUUAUGAAAUUUAAGCCGAACCCGGAACAAGAGAAGGAGAAGGGUUAUUCGAAUGGAUCAAGUACUACACGGACUUUUUCUGCUGCUAAGGAAGUGAAGCGGACGUAGAUCGAGUCAAGAGCAAGGAUUGUACGGAUAGAUCGGUCACAUAGUUGAAGUAUAUAACGUAUAGAAAUCUAAAUUUUAGUAUGAAUGUUGUGAGUUCUUUUAUAAAACGUUUAACAUUUUUAGAAUUUGGAACCUUCGUGAAAGUAAUGUCGUUAAUAAGGAAAGAAAUUUUA
rnacentral:lncRNA from 1 species